rnacentral:rRNA from 1 species
UCGAGCGGUAGCACAGAGAGCUUGCUCUCGGGUGACGAGCGGCGGACGGGUGAGUAAUGUCUGGGAAACUGCCUGAUGGAGGGGGAUAACUACUGGAAACGGUAGCUAAUACCGCAUAAUGUCGCAAGACCAAAGUGGGGGACCUUCGGGCCUCAUGCCAUCAGAUGUGCCCAGAUGGGAUUAGCUAGUAGGUGGGGUAACGGCUCACCUAGGCGACGAUCCCUAGCUGGUCUGAGAGGAUGACCAGCCACACUGGAACUGAGACACGGUCCAGACUCCUACGGGAGGCAGCAGUGGGGAAUAUUGCACAAUGGGCGCAAGCCUGAUGCAGCCAUGCCGCGUGUGUGAAGAAGGCCUUCGGGUUGUAAAGCACUUUCAGCGGGGAGGAAGGCGUUAAGGUUAAUAACCUUGGCGAUUGACGUUACCCGCAGAAGAAGCACCGGCUAACUCCGUGCCAGCAGCCGCGGUAAUACGGAGGGUGCAAGCGUUAAUCGGAAUUACUGGGCGUAAAGCGCACGCAGGCGGUCUGUCAAGUCGGAUGUGAAAUCCCCGGGCUCAACCUGGGAACUGCAUUCGAAACUGGCAGGCUAGAGUCUUGUAGAGGGGGGUAGAAUUCCAGGUGUAGCGGUGAAAUGCGUAGAGAUCUGGAGGAAUACCGGUGGCGAAGGCGGCCCCCUGGACAAAGACUGACGCUCAGGUGCGAAAGCGUGNGGAGCAAACAGGAUUAGAUACCCUGGNAG